rnacentral:misc_RNA from 1 species
UCUGGAACCACUCCUACAUCAAGCGAUGACGAAGAAACGCUUUGGCUAAGAGACUGAGUUGGGUAGUUGGAGGAAGAGAGCUUUGAUCUACAGAAAUCGACGUCGUAGCAGAUAUCGUUGUUGAUGACUGGAAUUGAAGCUGGUUUGGUCUGUACAGGCACCACGCUAUCAGUAGCCCCGCUAUGGCUCUGUUGAAACUCCAUAUCAAGUAACGGCUCCAUUUCAGGG